GGACUUCUGGAGCCAGAAGUUAAACUUUUCUCAACUGUUAAGUAGAGAUGCUGGUGUCCCACAUCCUGUUGGUCUCGUCUCUCCGGGACUGUGGCCCUCCAGGAGAAAUUCCCUUCUGAAGGAGAAGCAACAGCCUAGAGGACCUCUUAGAAAGGACCGACUUGUCUUUGGAAAAGACUCAGAAGAGCCCGUUAACUUGGCUUCCUCACUUCUGCUCAUCAUGUGAGUACAAUUUAUAUUUCUAACUAUUAUGCAAGUGUCAUUAAGCAGCGUUUUCCCCAGGUU
rnacentral:lncRNA from 1 species